GAAGGGGGCUAGCGUUGUUCGGAAUUACUGGGCGUAAAGCGCGCGCAGGCGGCUAUCCAAGUCAGUGGUGAAAGCCCGGAGCUCAACUCCGGAACUGCCAUUGAAACUGUUUAGCUUGAGGACGAGAGAGGUGAGUGGAAUUCCCAGUGUAGAGGUGAAAUUCGUAGAUAUUGGGAAGAACACCGGUGGCGAAGGCGGCUCACUGGCUCGUAUCUGACGCUCAGGCGCGACAGCGUGGGGAUCAAACAGGAUUAGAUACCCUGGUAGUCCACGCCGUAAACGAUGAUUGCUAGCCGUUGGGCAGCUUGCUGUUCAGUGGCGCAGCUAACGCAUUAAGCAAUCCGCCUGGGGAGUACGGCCGCAAGGUUG
rnacentral:rRNA from 1 species